rnacentral:rRNA from 1 species
GACGAACGCUGGCGGCGUGCUUAACACAUGCAAGUCGAACGGAAAGGCCCUGCUUUUGUGGGGUGCUCGAGUGGCGAACGGGUGAGUAACACGUGAGUAACCUGCCCUUGACUUUGGGAUAACUUCAGGAAACUGGGGCUAAUACCGGAUAGGAGCUCCUGCUGCAUGGUGGGGGUUGGAAAGUUUCGGCGGUUGGGGAUGGACUCGCGGCUUAUCAGCUUGUUGGUGGGGUAGUGGCUUACCAAGGCUUUGACGGGUAGCCGGCCUGAGAGGGUGACCGGCCACAUUGGGACUGAGAUACGGCCCAGACUCCUACGGGAGGCAGCAGUGGGGAAUAUGGCACAAUGGGCGGAAGCCGGAUGAAGCAACGCCGCGUGCGGGAUGACGGCCUUCGGGUUGUAAACCGCUUUCGCCUGUGACGAAGCGUGAGUGACGGUAAUGGGUAAAGAAGCACCGGCUAACUACGUG